UGUGUGUCCAGUCCACUUUGAGCGGUGUCCCGCCUCAUCUGCGUCUUCCUGUGGCUGUCACCUGCUACUGGCUGAGGCACGCCCAUCCACCCCCAGACCUGCCUGUCCUGCAGGCCCUGCUACUAGGAUUGGUGUAGGAGAGCUCUGCAGACAGAGAAGAGCCAAAGAGGGUUUAUGGAGGGGCCAGUGGUGGAGAGGUGAGAGGGCUGAUUCAGAGAGGUAGAAGGAGCCUAGACCUGGGUGUGGCCCACGCCUACAGCCAGUGGCAGUGCUGCCUGAAGAAAGCCUUCACCUCAACCAACUGCUGUGCUCCCUCUAGCCGAGCCCCAGUGUGCCUGGCUGUACAAGGGCACUCUGGUGCACCAGCUUGUGACCAAACUGAGAGGGGGUUAACCCCGGAUUCUCUCCUGAUGGGAGGCCCUUGCUCUGGGCAGCUGUAUAGGGCAUGCUGGGAGCCAUACUCACUCCCACGAUGCUGCUGUCAUCCCCGUGGUGUCUGGGCAGCAGAGGGCCCACCUCCAUCCUUGACACAGCCACUGGACGACUACGGCCCAUCUACACAUUCUGGCUCUGGAAGAAGAUGAUGAUGAUGAUGGUGUGGAGGUGGGACAAGGCCAAGCCAGAAGACGAUCUGGGUUGGACUUUAGUCUCAGUGCGGACCGGCACAAGAGCAAGGACAGAUUCAACCGAGCUAGGAAUCCAGAAUUUUCUCGGAAGCAGGGGCGGAUCGGCUGGGAAUAGAGAGGACCAUUAUAUAACUGUUUAGUUAUAGAGACUUUCUGCUCAACUCUUAAUCUUUCUAUUGUUCUUAUGUGUAUCUAUUAUGACUUAAUUGACAUUGUUUUUAGCAUGAACUACAAUAGAAGUUAUGAUAAGUUUGACUUAGUUUUAUUUGUGUUUUCUUUCUUUGCUGUCUGCUGUAAAGAGUAUUUGGUCUUUGAAAUAGCUCUAUAAAUCCCAUGUAUUGUUACUGUUACAUUACUGCUGCUCUGGAAAUAUUUUGAUCAUCAAAAAUGAAAAAUACAUUUAAACCA